GACGUAGGGCGCGAGCGUUGUCCGGAUUUAUUGGGCGUAAAGAGCGUGUAGGCGGCCUUACAGGUCAGCUGUGAAAACUCGAGGCUCAACCUCGAGACGUCGGUUGAAACCGUAUGGCUAGAGUCCGGAAGAGGAGAGUGGAAUUCCCGGUGUAGCGGUGAAAUGCGCAGAGUAUCGGGAAGAACACCCGUGGCGAAGGCGGCUCUCUGGACCGAGACUGACGCUGAGGCGCGAAAGCGUGGGGAGCAAACAGGG
rnacentral:rRNA from 1 species